UGGCUCAGGAUGAACGCUAGCGGCAGGCUUAACACAUGCAAGUCGAGGGGUAUAAGUCUUCGGAUUUAGAGACCGGCGCACGGGUGCGUAACGCGUAUGCAAUCUACCUUUUACAGAGGGAUAGCCCAGAGAAAUUUGGAUUAAUACCUCAUAGCAUAGCAGCUUCGCAUGAAGCCACUAUUAAAGUCACAACGGUAAAAGAUGAGCAUGCGUCCCAUUAGCUAGUUGGUAAGGUAACGGCUUACCAAGGCUACGAUGGGUAGGGGUCCUGAGAGGGAGAUCCCCCACACUGGUACUGAGACACGGACCAGACUCCUACGGGAGGCAGCAGUGAGGAAUAUUGGACAAUGGGCGCAAGCCUGAUCCAGCCAUGCCGCGUGCAGGAUGACGGUCCUAUGGAUUGUAAACUGCUUUUAUACGAGAAGAAACACUCCUUCGUGAAGGAGCUUGACGGUAUCGUAAGAAUAA
rnacentral:rRNA from 1 species